GCAGAAAGAUGCGACAGCGUGAGAAGGAUUCCACGUGCUCUGGCCUGCUCUGAGAUGUAGGGACCUUGUGCACAAACCAGAGAGAGGUCGCUAGGAGCCAAAGGUGGUCCCCAGCUGACAACCAGCAAGGAAACAGGGACCUCAGUCCAACAGCGAAUGGAACUGAAUUCUGCCAACGACCUGAAUGAGCCUGGAGCAGAUCCUGCCCCACAGCCUCCUGAAGGGAAGACAGCCCUGCCAACACCUUGAUCUCAGCCUUGUGAGGCUUGAAGCAGAGAAACCAGCUGAGCCCACCCGAAUGCUAACCUACAGAACCCAUGGCUUGAUAAGCGGUGCAUAAGUCUACACCCGGGAUCCCAACUGGCGAACCCCAGGCUGCCGAAGCAGGGAAUUGUGAGAUGAUGGAUAGAGUCCUCUUCCUGACCAGAGCUCACUUAACUCCAUAAAGUGAAGGCCAGCUAUAAGGUAAUUUCUAGAAUUCUGUUUCCUUUCCGUACUCAUUUCAAGAAGAAAAAGACAAAUAUAAAGUAUAAAGAAAACAAUAAAUAUAUAGAAAAGUCUUCUUUACAGGUUGUUUGAGCUGCAAACAACAUCUCAAAAUUAGGACCACUCUAUGCGCAUUUUAUGUUUCUCAUUUAAUUAUCUAUCACAGACAUCCAAGAAACGCUUAUAACCCAUACCCCCAGCACCUAUGCCAUUCCUGACAUACAAUGUAGUGCCUAAUAAAUAUUUGUUGAAUCAAUGAAUAUGGAAAAAUGCAAACCAAGCACUUGAAAUAUUAUGCUACAUUUCUUUCGGCUUGAACUCCACGCUAAUGAGCAAGGGAGGUCACUGGAGCAGUGUGAGGGCCAUCAUGAGUUUUCUAUUUCAACAACCAGUGCCAAAUUCUUAAUGCCAGAUGGGACGAGAUGGGAUGUUAAACCGCUUCUUAUUACCACGUUGUUGGCCUCCAUUGCCUCGGUAUUAUUCUCCGAUUGCUUCGUCUCUGUGGAUCUCUGACUCCUUAUUACCUCCAAUUGGAACGCCCCACAAAUCAUCCUGCGUUCUUUAUCCUCUCUCACCUCAAAGUAAUCCUGUCAUCUUGCUCCAGUUAGAGCCACUUCCAUUAAGAAGAUUGUGGCAAAUUCUCUCCCUACCUGUUGGCUCUUCAGGAAAAUUAUCCUCUGGAUAAGUGAAAGUUACAGACACUUUUCAGAACGUUUUUAGUCUGAAUUUCUCCCCUCUUCCAACAUUUUCCUAAGCCAGUUACCUUUGCAUUGGAGUGAAAUUAAAUUCAAGGAGAUAGAGGUUCUGA
rnacentral:lncRNA from 1 species